UCGUCUCUCUCCUCUCGAUCGAUCUCUCUCUCCCUCUCUCUCUAUCUCUUUCUUUCUCUGUAAAAUCUAGAAAUAGAAUCAGCACCUUCGCCCUUCCUCUAUCCUGCAGAAGCUAGAACCAACACCAGGUGGGGCUAUUCCACCGACUGUAGCAGCGCAAACCAACGCAUAUCUACAGUUCACUGGCUGCUGUCGGUCACCCACUUACAGUAUAUGGAAAAGGAUGCCCGAUAAAAUUGAUAGUUUGCUACUUUUCCACUUUCUGGAGACAGGCCAAUGAACAUGCUUGGAGUCGUACAGUCCCAAAAAGUUGCAGAACUACUUCUAGAUUUUAAAGUGAGCUCAAUAAUAUGAAAUCCUCAGAAUGCUUCUAUUGAAACAGCAAUUUCCAUCUCCAAGGUGAAGCUUUUCAAUGCUACUGGUCUUGUGUCAUAUAUCUCAAAUUUCCUCAGUGAAGAUGUAUUUAACUUUGCUCCAAGAGUUCUUUAUUUAUUCCAACUGGCAGACUUGAUUGUACUUAGGAAUGCCAAUUAGUUGUAGCUUGUGGAAGGAGGUUCCCAUUGGUUCAUUGUAACCAUUCCUAUAAAAGAAUUUAGAAAGCCUUUUCAUUUUUCUAGCAUUUUAUCCUCCAAUUUAUCGUUUUCAUCUUCUAAUAGUAUAAAUGAAAGAUUGCAGAGGUUUUGAAGAAGAAAAAGAGGGCAACAACAGAAGACAUAGCUAGAAUUGCUUUAUCUGAUAUUGUCAAAUAUUUCAAUCUUCCGAUAGUAGAAUCUUCAAGAAAUCUGAAGGUCGGACUUACUGUGCUGAAGAGGAAGUGCAGGGAACUUGGUAUUCCUCGUUGGCCACAUAGGAAGAUUAAAUCUCUUGACACUCUAAUACAUAGCCUCCAUGUACUCUGCUUUUCUUGGUCUGCCAAGUUGCAUUGCAUAUUUUCUGAUUUUGGUACUGCAUUUAGGACUGUCAAUAGGUUACCUGACAAACUUGAAUGAAUCCAACCUUAUUGUAAGAUCUGGGACAAGUCCUUGAUCCAACUUACUGGGACUCAUGAACAAUUGGUUUUUGCACCAGAUGUACCCUGAUUCAGUGGAACAAGGACCCAGCUGAGCCAAUUUAACUAUUUGUACAAGAGGGUCAGAGAAGGCAUUCAGAGUUGCUGAUGAAGAAUUCAAGCAAUUGGGUUUUUCUCAAUGAAAAUUACAAACUUGAUCCUAACAAGUUACCUUUAGAAGAUGUGGCAAAAUCGGAAUCUCUCUGCGAGAAAGAUUUGUAUUUAUACAACAUGUAUUGACAUUGCAGCACUGAAACAUUUGUAUUUAUAGGUUUGAUUAAGUAUAUUAUAUGCAACAAGUAAGGUUGGACUUGAUACCCCUUCUGGAUUCAGGUUGAGCCAAACACGAGCAGUUGAUGUAUAUCCCUAUAACUCUAUACAUGUAUCUGAUAUGAAGCUUCUGGGAACCGAUUAUUCACAGCCAUCCAAAUACCACAAGUCACCUUUCAUUUCUCAAAAGGAGGUUUACUGUUGGACUGUGGUGAAGGGACAUUGGGUCAACUAAAGAGGAGAUAUGGUGUAAAGGGUGCUGACAAUGCUGUGAGAAGAUUGAAGUUUAUUUAGAUUUCUCAUAUUCAUGCUGAUCAUCAUACCGGUCUACCAAGAAUACUUGCUCUUCGUCGAGAGUUGUUAAAGGAAGUUGCUCAUGAACCAUUACUUGUUAUUGGGCCAAGGAAGCUUAAAAUAUUUUUGGAUGCAUAACAAAAACACGAGGAUCUAGAUAUGCAGUUCCUUGACUGCAGGCACACAACAGAAGCUUCAUUGGAUGCCUUCAAGGAUGCUCUUGAAUCUAUUCAAAAUAACUUCGUUUCAAGAACUAAUGUUGAAAACUUAAUAGCAGAGAUGGACAAGGUGUUCCAGUGCAAAAUAUUGAGACAACCUUGUUUGCAAGAGGCAGCCCCAUGCAGAGCUUUUGGAAGAGACCUAGUAGUCCAGUUGACUCUGGAAUGAGCUCUGAGUCUGAGCUCCUAAUGAACUUGAAAAAGGUUCUUGGUGAAGUAGGUUUGGAGGCUCCGGUCAGUGUGCCUGUUGUGUAUUGUCCAUAGGCAUUUGGUGUUGUCAUGAAGGCAGCAGAUAGAGUCAACACCAUUGGAAGAACUACUCCAGGUUGGAAGAUUGUCUACUCUGGUGACACUAGGCCCUGUCCUGAACUGAUAGCAGCAUCUUAGGGAGCAACAAUUCUUGUACAAACCUAGAAUUUAUCAAA